rnacentral:rRNA from 1 species
UACGUAGGGGGCGAGCGUUGUCCGGAUUUACUGGGCGUAAAGAGCGCGCAGGCGGUCGAUCAAGUCGCGUGUGAAAGCCCCCGGCUCAACUGGGGAGGGUCACGCGAUACUGAUCGACUCGAAGGCAGGAGAGGGUAGUGGAAUUCCCGGUGUAGUGGUGAAAUGCGUAGAUAUCAGGAGGAACACCGAUGGCGAAGGCAGGUCUCUGGGCAUUAACUGACGCUGAGGAGCGAAAGCAUGGGGAGCGAACAGG